rnacentral:rRNA from 1 species
GUAGGUGGCAAGCGUUGUCCGGAAUUAUUGGGCGUAAAGCGCGCGCAGGCGGUUCUUUAAGUCUGAUGUGAAAGCCCACGGCUCAACCGUGGAGGGUCAUUGGAAACUGGAGAACUUGAGUACAGAAGAGGAAAGCGGAAUUCCACGUGUAGCGGUGAAAUGCGUAGAGAUGUGGAGGAACACCAGUGGCGAAGGCGGCUUUCUGGUCUGUAACUGACGCUGAGGCGCGAAAGCGUGGGGAGCAAACAGGAUUAGAUACCCUGGUAGUCCACGCCGUAAACGAUGAGUGCGAAGUGUUAGGGGGGUUUCCGCCCCCUUAGUGCUGCAGCUAACGCAUUAAGCACUCCGCCUGGGAGUACGGCCGCAAGGCUG